AACGAACGCUGGCGGCAGGCUUAACACAUGCAAGUCGAACGCAUCCUUCGGGAUGAGUGGCAGACGGGUGAGUAACGCGUGGGAACGUGCCCUUUAGUUUGGAAUAACCCAGGGAAACUUGGGCUAAUACCGGAUACGCCCGAAAGGGGAAAGAUUUAUCGCUGAAGGAGCGGCCCGCGUCUGAUUAGCUAGUUGGUGAGGUAAUGGCUCACCAAGGCGACGAUCAGUAGCUGGUCNGAGAGGAUGAUCAGCCACACUGGGACUGAGACACGGCCCAGACUCCUACGGGAGGCAGCA
rnacentral:rRNA from 1 species